rnacentral:siRNA from 1 species
GCAAAUCCACCGGCCGACCAUGGA